rnacentral:lncRNA from 1 species
AUACAAUUCAUUCAAAGUCUAUUCAUUCAAUUCAAAUACUGAAUUCAUUCAUUCAAUAUCAAUUUUCUUCAUAUAAACCAAAAUUCAUUCAUUACAAAUCAUAAGAAUGUUCAAAUAUACAAAAAUUACAAAAAAGAAAUGGCACUUUGACCAAAGGUUGACUUUGGUCAACAUUUGACUUUUUGGUCUAUGUUGACUAGAGUCAACUCACAUUUUCUCUAAGCCUAAUCCUAUUGUAUUCAUGUUGAUUCCUUAUUGGCAUAUCUUCCAUUUCAACUUCAUGACUAAUGUUGCUUCAAGAACAAGCAAUCCCUUUUUCUUCAAGGCAUGCCUUGUCCAUUUUACCUAUUGCCAAUGCCUUAAAAUUGUAACCUAAGGCUAAAAUGGAUAUGUACUGCCAAGACAACAAUGCAAGUUAGUUUUCAAUGAAAUCCAUACUAUCAAGAAAUACAAGGCUAUAACUUAACAUACCUUUCCACCAUGAAUUACUAACAAACAAGAGCAUGCCAUGUCCAAAAUUCAGUAUCACAUGUGCAAGAACCAACUAAAUUCUGCUACAGCCAG